rfam:Candidatus Phytoplasma mali strain AT complete chromosome.
CCUGGUGCUUAAGUUAAAAAGGACACACCUGUUCCCAUCCCGAACACAGCAGUUAAGCUUUUUAACGCCGACAAUAGUUCGAUUUUUCGCGCCAAGAUAGGUUGUCGCCAGGA